rnacentral:misc_RNA from 1 species
GCAAACUUGGUCAUUUAGAGGAAGUAAAAGUCGUAACAAGGUUUCCGUAGGUGAACCUGCGGAAGGAUCAUUACCGAGUCCCGGGGGUCUUACCGGCCCCCGACUCUCAACCCUCAUGUGAACCCACCUCGUUGCUUCGGCGGGCCCGUCGGGACCGCAAGGCUCGACCGCCGGCUUCGGCUGGUCCGCGCCCGCCGGAGGACCAUCGAAACCCACUGAAACCGCAGGCUUCGGCCUUCCGACUGGGUCCUUCGCGAAUCUUCAAAACUUUCAACAACGGAUCUCUUGGUUCUGGCAUCGAUGAAGAACGCAGC